rnacentral:lncRNA from 1 species
AUAAUCUAGAUAUUAAACUUUAUCCCAACUCCAUCCCAGCCCCUAAAUACUAAACCAUAAACGCUAAUCAGUGAACCGAAAACCCAAAUAUAAACCAUAAAUCCAAAUAUAAACCCUAAACUCAAAUAAAAUGGAACAAAAUAAAUAGCAUAGUACGUACUGGUGAAAUUAUGAAAUAUCUAUGAUUGUAUGAAAGAAGUUAAUAAUGAUUCUAACCAUAGACCCUCACCUUCUAAUUAGUAAAUUCUAAACC